rnacentral:rRNA from 1 species
AACGAACGCUGGCGGCAUGCCUAACACAUGCAAGUCGAACGAGACCUUCGGGUCUAGUGGCGCACGGGUGCGUAACGCGUGGGAACCUGCCCUUAGGUUCGGAAUAACUCCCCGAAAGGGGUGCUAAUACCGGAUAAUGUCUUCGGACCAAAGAUUUAUCGCCUUUGGAUGGGCCCGCGUUGGAUUAGCUAGUUGGUAGGGUAAAAGCCUACCAAGGCGACGAUCCAUAGCUGGUCUGAGAGGAUGAUCAGCCACACUGGGACUGAGACACGGCCCAGACUCCUACGGGAGGCAGGAGUGGGGAAUAUUGGACAAUGGGCGAAAGCCUGAUCCAGCAAUGCCGCGUGAGUGAUGAAGGCCUUAGGGUUGUAAAGCUCUUUUACCCGGGCUGAUAAUGAAAGUACCGGGAGAAUAAGCUCCGGCUAACUCCGUG